GCGGUCUACGGCGGCCAGCUUCCUGUCAGCUCUUCUAAUGAUACUAAGGGCUCGUUUUAAGCUGCUGUUUACGUUGCUGAGGGCUGCAGCAGUAAAUCUGUCUCGUGUUGCAGUCAGGGCGAAAAAAGAAAAAAAAGAUCCUCUUCCUCGUGGCCGACUGUGGAUAGACCUGAGCGCAGAUAACUGGGGAGAAGGCUGCAGUAGGCUGCUUAGGUUUGGAGGCGCUAAUGGAGCUGCAGUCGGAAACGCUCACUGCCUGGCUGUCACGGCUGGAGGAAGAUUUGGGAAACACAAGGUGAUGCAGCAAUGUCCGUGAGAGCCUUAACCAGUUCCAUAGCUCAUGUGGCUGGGUCAGGUGGUGGAGAAGGAUAUGGAGAAGUGGGAAGUAUCCUCUCCCAAACAAACAGCAAAUUUCUACUCCUCAGAGGACCCACAUGGGAGCAAAUGAGGNNNNNNNNNNNNNNNNNNNGGAAUCAGAUGCAGCAUAUGACUCUCAUUAUAACUCAUGACACGAUGCUGUGCAUCAAAAACAUAUCAGCCCCGCAACCAGGAGCAGCCAAUACCUGUGGGUUAAGGGUCGAGGCACAGCCCCUGAACAAAGUCCUGGCAACGAUUUUGGGAUUUUGAGAACCGGCAUAUUUACUUAGAAAAUAGUUGUGGCAGUUUAGGAAGUUGUGGUCCCCACUUAUGAUAGUCCUGCAUCAGAGGUUAUGCCUUUCUCUGCAGAUGAUCAGGAGAAAGGAAUCACACACACGCUGCAGAGCAAAAUCUUCCGGGUUAAUUUAAGGUGGUGAUGAAAGUGAGUUUCAUGCUAGGCACUGCUGAAUGCUUGUAUUUUCUUUCCCGCUAUUUAAAUCGAGCAGUUAUGAUGUCCAGCAGAAAACUGGUAAGGAACCACUGAUAGUGCCACAAUGUCUUAAACUGCCCCAGCUAUGCCGGGUUUGUGGGUAGGCAUUUGUUUUGCACAAAGUCUAUUGCCUUAACGGUGAUGGUAUGGAAACUGACAUUCAACAUUACCAUAAACAGCGGACACUUGUAACUUUUCCUGCAGAGAUACUUUUGCAGCAGAUAGUUUCUGAGGGUUAGGUUAGAUUCUGAGUUUUAUUCCCCAUUUUUAUUUGUCCCUCUUUAUUGUAAGUAGGAGGAUGCUAAAUGCUUUCAGUUGAGCCUUUUUCAAUUCCUUUUAAAAAUGAAGUUUACUUGAAAUCGUAAUGUUUUGUGGUUCCUCUUGACCAACUGUAAACAAAUCGUUAACGUUCCCAAAAUAGAGUUAAUGGUUUUAUAUACGUUGUAACAGUGCAAAUAAAAUGAAUAAACACAAUCA
rnacentral:lncRNA from 1 species